UACGUAGGGGGCAAGCGUUGUCCGGAAUCAUUGGGCGUAAAGCGCGUGUAGGCGGCCCGAUAAGUCCGCUGUGAAAGUCCAGGGCUCAACCCUGGAAUGCCGGUGGAUACUGUCGGGCUAGAGUCCGGAAGAGGCGAGUGGAAUUCCUGGUGUAGCGGUGAAAUGCGCAGAUAUCAGGAGGAACACCGAUGGCGAAGGCAGUUCUCUGGGCCGUAACUGACGCUGAGGAGCGAAAGCGUGGGGAGCGAACAGG
rnacentral:rRNA from 1 species